UUCUUUUAGAUUUUAUUAAAGGUAAUUUCUGCCCUAUGAAUUAAUAUUAAAUGGCUGCAGUAUUUUAACUGUACAAAGGUAGCAUAAUAAUUAGUUUUUUAAUUAAGGACUUGAAUGAAUGGAUAUAUGAAGAAUAUAUUUUAUUUUUUUUAUUUUUAAAAUUUUUAUUGUUGGUAAAAAUGCUAACUUUUUUAUUAGGGACGAGAAGACCCUAUAGAAUUUAUAAUUGAAAAUUUAAAUAUUUUUAUAGGUUAAUUAAUUUUUUAAUUUAAUUUGAUUUUUUAUUGGGGUGAUUUGUAAAUUUAUAAAACUUUAUUUUUUUAUUUCAUUAAUUAAUGUUAAUAUUUUAUUUGAUCCUUAAUUUUUUAAGAAUAAAAGAUAAAUUACCUUAGGGAUAACAGCGUAAUUUUAAUUUAAAGUUCAUAUUUAUAUUAUAGUUUGCGACCUCGAUGUUGAAUUAAGGUAAAUUUUAGGUGCAGGUGCUUAAUAAAUUUGGUCUGUUCGAC
rnacentral:rRNA from 1 species